GUGCCAAGUAGCACCUUUUGACUUUUCAACCAAAAUGGAUAUUUAUCUUCCUAUGUCGUCUCUUUCUUCAUAAUUCCAGAGAGCUCGACCAAAUAAGACCCCUAACCUCACCCUUAAGCUGUCCACAAGGUUAUCCAACAAGAUUACCGUCCGAGGCACAAAAUCACGAAGCAAUAACACUAGAACGAUCCCCAUGACAUUGGGUUGAGUUAUUCGAAGAAUUACUUGGAAGGUAUUAAGGACUCAAUGGAGUUAAGGUCCCGAUUGAUAGGUUCACAGUCCUCUUAUUAGUCUAUCAG